rnacentral:lncRNA from 1 species
AAUAAAGUUCAACUAACUACAACUCCUCACUACUAAUCACAUGUAUUUUUUAUUUUUAUUUUUUUUAUAGUUUUUAAAUUAAAUAAAUAUUAUAAACAUUCUUAGGAAAUUUAGUUUUUGCCAAACAAUUGGAUAGGGAUAUUAUUCCAAGUAAUAAUCAUGAUGAGAAUAGGACAUAAGGAAUGUUACUUCUUAACUUGAAAGAAACACAUUCUCACUGCUAG